UGGGGAAUUUUGCACAAUGGGGGAAACCCUGAUGCAGCGACGCCGCGUGAUUUAGAAGGCCUUCGGGUUGUAAAAAUCUUUUCUAUGGGAAGAAAAUGACAGUACCAUAGGAAUAAGGACCGGCUAAUUACGUGCCAGCAGCCGCGGUAAUACGUAAGGUCCGAGCGUUGUCCGGAAUCAUUGGGCGUAAAGGGUACGUAGGCGGGUAAGCAAGUUAGACGUGAAAUCCUAUAGCUCAACUAUAGUAAGCUUUUAAAACUGCUCAUCUUGAGGUAUGGAAGGGAAAGUGGAAUUCCUAGUGUAGCGGUGAAAUGCGCAGAUAUUAGGAGGAAUACCGGUGGCGAAGGCGACUUUCUGGCCAUAACCUGACGCUGAGGUACGAAAGCGUGGGUAGCAAACAGG
rnacentral:rRNA from 1 species